ACGGAACCGCCGCGUUUUCUCCGCUCGCGGUUGUGCAAAGCUGGCGCUGCCGGUCCAAAGCGUCGUAUUUUCUUAAUUUGCGCUAUUAAUAGAAGUGGAGAAGUGAGAAAGGUCUGCGACAAAGGGAGGGGAAAGCCGGCACCGCAGAUUCCCGUUCUCAGGCCGACGUCACCCUCUCCUCCCCGGAUCCCACAGCGGGGAGUUUCCCAGCUGGCUGCGAGGCCUAUAAGGUGGGGAUGGGCUGCAGCUGCACAGAUCACGUAUGGGCUCCGUGACCGAUGUGAUGCGGAGAGCUCUGAUGUGCAUUCAUGGUAUUGUGUCUGUUUACCCACACAAGGCAGGAUUGAUUUCAUCUUCAUCUCAUAGCAGCCAAGCUCAGGGAUCCCACACCCAGGAAGCACCUACGGACAACAGUCAUCUCACUGGGAGGGUCUGCUUCCAUGGGUAGAUCCCACAGUCCAGCUGGGAGAGCCAAAACUGACCUCACUGACGCUUCAUCGCUCCCCCUUUGCACCACCGCUCCUCACCCAUCAGAGGAUGAGGCUCAGCUGCUUCAGGAGGUGGAAAGAGGUUGGUGAGAGUUGGUUGCAGUGUAACCUGCAGCCCAGCUGGCAUGGGCCACUCGACGGGAGGGGAAAGGAGCUCCGCUCUGCAGCUUCUCGUCGUAGUGUUUCAUGGUUGGGAGGUACCAAACUCCCGUAAAAACGCUGUCCCAGGUUUGCUCUGCUUUACACUUCUCAUGGGACAGAAAGUUUGGUAUUUCUGUACAAUGCUUACUGUCUGUCUUAUCCAAAGCAACAAAAAUAAACACCAUUAAGUCCGUGUUGGCGAAGUUUAUUUGCGGGUCAGAAGGCCCCUUGGGAGGCCUGGGAACAGGGCUAGCAUCUCCAGCCAGCUAUGGGGAGCCACUUCCUACGGAAAGCCUUUCUGCCUAAAGCCUCUGCCCUUCACUUCAAGUUUAUCAGGUGUGCCAUUUCAGUGGGUGAUUUAUAUGCCCUAUGAAUCCCAACAGCACCCAAGCAGAGAAGGCAUUCACCAGGUGAGGCUGUUGUGACCUCAAAUAUUAGUAAAAAUAGGAAAAAUGUGUUUCCAGCAUCUGUUCAGGCCCAGAAAGUCCUCUGAAAUGGCUGUAGGCAAGUUGCUCAAAGAGAAGCAAGACUUGGCAACCUUCAUGAAGUCUCAGAGUAACAGGACAGAGUUCCAGAAGUAAGCAUCUUUUCCUCACACUGCAGUAUUUCUUUUGGCAAAUAAACAAACCUAACUGGAAAAAAAAGGCUCUCUGUUCUAUAAGCAUGAAAGUGCCAUCAGUCUGAGGGCAGGGAGAGAAGCUUUCCACUGCUUGUCACAAGGCACAGGUGAAAAGAGACGUAAGGCUGGAUGCAGCGAGUCUGAUUUAUCCCUUGUUUUAUUCUCCUUCCUGAGCUCAGAGCUGAAGGUGCUUCUCCAUCUGCUCUCUCAACUUGUAUUUCUGAACCUGAAAUAAAGCAGAGGUUCAGACAGCAUGGCAGAGCAUGGCUUCUCUCCUCCCACAGCCCCCCUCUUACCUUGCCUGAGACAGUGAGUGGGUACUGAUUCACAAACACAACGUAGCGCGGGAUCUUGAAAUGGG
rnacentral:lncRNA from 1 species